rnacentral:rRNA from 1 species
GAUAAACGCUGGCGGCGCACAUAAGACAUGCAAGUCGAACGGACGUUAACUCAUUCUUUUAGAUUGAGAGCGGUUAGUGGCGGACUGGUGAGUAACACGUAAGCAACCUGCCUAUUAGAGGGGAAUAACAGUGAGAAAUCAUUGCUAAUACCGCAUAAGCGCACAGUACCGCAUGGUACGGUGUGAAAAACUCCGGUGGUAUGAGAUGGACCCGCGUCUGAUUAGCUAGUUGGUGAGGUAACGGCUCACCAAGGCGACGAUCAGUAGCCGACCUGAGAGGGUGACCGGCCACAUUGGGACUGAGACACGGCCCAG